rnacentral:rRNA from 1 species
GACGAGCGUCACAAACGUUAUUCGGAAUUACUGGGCUUAAAGGGUGCGUAGGCGGCGCGGAAAGUUGGGUGUGAAAUCCCUCGGCUCAACCGAGGAAUUGCGCUCAAAACUACCGUGCUCGAGGGAGAUAGAGGAAUGCGGAACUUACGGUGGAGCGGUGAAAUGCGUUGAUAUCGUAGGGAACACCAGUGGCGAAAGCGGCAUUCUGGAUCUCUUCUGACGCUGAUGCACGAAAGCUAGGGUAGCAAACGGG